GACGAACGCUGGCGGCAUGCCUAACACAUGCAAGUCGAACGAGACCUUCGGGUCUAGGGGCGCACGGGUGCGUAACGCGGGGUGACCAACACGUGAGUUCGGUGUACCUCCCCGAAGGGUGAGCUAAUGCCGCUGAAGCUCUUCGGGGCAAAGAUUUCUCGCCGUUGGGUGGGCCCGCGUUAGAUUAGGUGGUUGGUAGGGGAAAAGCAUACCAAGGCGAGGAUCCAUGGCUGGUCGGAGAGCAGGAUAAGCCACACUGGAACUGCGACACGGCCCAGACCCCUACGGGACGCAGCAGUGUGGAACAUUGGACAAGGGGCGAAAGCCUGACAAAGCAAUGCCGCGGGAGUGGUGAAUCCCGUAGGGUUGCAAAUCCGUCUUACCCGGGAUGAUAAUGACAGUACCGGGUGAAUAAGCACCGGCUAACUACGUG
rnacentral:rRNA from 1 species